AGUGGUGUACAGGUGAGUAAUAAUUAUCAACCGACCUUAAGGUAGGGGAAAAUAAAUCCCUUAUAUAAAAAAAGGAAAUUUCCGCCUUAAGAAGAAUCGAUAAUUAAAAGAGAUAGGUAGUUGUUAAAGUAACGGUUUAACUAGCCGAAUAUUCUCUUAGUCGAAAUUGAAUGGUUGAUCGACCACAUUGGGGAUGAGAAAAACCCAAGACAAGCGAGUACAGCAGUGGGGAAUUUUAGUCAAUGGCCUAACGGCUGAACUGGCAACUUGGAGGAAUGGCCUAUAUUAGAGUGAAAAGGUUAAAUUAAUUAUAUAGUGAAAUAAAAUUCUAAAUAUAUCAUUUAUAAUGACUAUGUAUAUUUAUGUCUUGACUAAUUACGUGCCAGCAGUCGCGGUAAUACGUAAGAGACUAGUGUUAUUCAUCUUUACUAGGUUUAAAGGGUACCCAGACGGAAGAAAUUUGCCAAAAAAAGGAACAGUCUCUAUCUAGAGUUAAAAAAAAAAAGGUCGAAUCUAUGGAGGAGAACUAAAAAACUAAGAUACUAUAGAGACGGGUAAGGCGAAGGCAACCUUUUAGGUAAUAACUGACGUCGAAGGACGAAGGCUAAGGUAGCGAAAAGGAUUAGAGACCCUUGUAGUCUUAGCAGUAAAUUAUGAAUGCCACUUAUUAAUAAUAUUUAAUUAGUAAAUGAAAAUGUAAGCAUUUCACCUCAUGAGUAAUGUGGCAACGCGGGAACUGAAAUCACUAGACCGUUUUUGACACCAGUAGUGAAGUAUGUUAUUUAAUUCGAUGAUCCGCGAAAAACCUUACCACAACUUGAAUUAUUUAUAUUUAUAUACAUAUAUAUAAAUAACUAGUGUUGCACGGCUGUCUUCAGUUAAUGUUGCAAAACUGUGGCUUUGGCCAUGUAAUUAACAAAAACCCCUACUUUAUUUAUUAAUAUAAAUUUUAUAAAGUAUUUUUUACUCUAAAUAUCGAGAAAAUAAUAGGGACAAAGACAAGUCAUCAUGGCCUUUGUGUUGUGGGCUAUAGACGUGCCACAUUUUCCUAGACAAAGAGAUGCAAAAAUGAAAAUUUAAGCUAAUCUCAAAAAUAGGAUAAAAAAGAUAUGGAUUGUAGUCUGAAACUCGACUAUAUGAAUAAGUAAUUACUAGUAAUCGUGAAUCACCAUCGUCACGGUGAAUUUUAAAUCGGAUUGGUACUAACCACUCG
rnacentral:rRNA from 1 species